CGCACAGAAGAGACCAAGCCGCUGAUGGCAGUGCAAGUGAACUUCAGGGCACUCGAGGUGCUUUGGCCCAAUUAGGAAGUCAGCCGGAGCCUCCCGUCACAGGCAGCCAUGGUACCUGCUGUCUGAUGUUUUGCCAACUUGCUUUAGUGCAAUCACCCCGCUGCACCGGGAUGUUUCAAUUUAGACUUCUGCUACGUCAGGACUCUGAAGACGCUCAUUGUCUGGGAGUGGGCUUCCUGCCUGUUACCUCUUUCCUCCUGCCUCUCCUCUCUUGGACACAGCUGUGACAUUGCUCACUGGCCAAACGCUCCACACUCAUGCUCAGAGCAGCAUUAUUCACAGCAGCCAGGAGGGGGACGUCGCCCAGGUGUUCCUCGGUGGAUGAAUGGAUAAAGAAAAUGUAAACACACAGUGGAAUCUUACUCAGCCUUGAAAAGGAAGGAAAGUCCAUCCAACACAUGCUACUGCAUGGACGAACUUUGGACAGUGAGCUAAGUGAAAGGAGACAGUCACAAAAGGACAAAUACCAGAUGAUCCCACCUGCGCGAGAUGAUAUCACGCCACCCCCUUCCCAGUGGCUAAAAGGCAAUUUAAUAUGCAGAAGCUCUGCUAGAACAGCAUUAGGUUAUGACAUGAGGAAAUGGAAAAAAAACAUCUAAGCCCAAACUCUGCCCUUCAGCCGUCCUCCUGAGACAGCGUGCUGCUGUCAGCCAAGGACAGAGUGGGCACGCUGGGGUUCUUGGGCUCAGCAAACAACAGGAAAACUGAGGCAACUUCAGCUGCUUACAAGAGAGAGACACAAGAUUCACAUGAGUUCCUAAGUUCAAGUUGGCUGAGGGGCUCAAGGGACUCACCGCGUCCCUCCCUCACUCCGGCAGAUGCUGGGACGCUUCCAGACAGCCCCGGACAUAGGGGGAGAGGGAGAGGCAUGGAAACCCUCUUACCUUAGCCCCUCAGAAAGGUGCCUCCACUCAUUGGUGACUCCCUCACUUAGCCAUUAAAUGUCACUACAGCCCGUUCGCACAGGGGAGAGAAUCUACAUCUAGCAGUAAAAAAAGGUGAUGAAAUGAAAGAAGUUGUGAAAUGACAUUUUUUUCCAGCAGGUUUGUCAUAUCUCCUGCAUGGAGGAAAAUUGCUUUCUGUAAAUCUUGGUCCAACAGAACAAAACACCUAUUUCUUUCCAGUUGGGAGGACAGCCAUUCUCAUCGGUAUAAUGAACGUAUUGUAAGCUGUGACUUUUACAAAGUCUGAGGGAAACCAAUCUGCAAUCUUGACAGAUACGAUCUUUCCAGAUGCACUGUUCGUUUACGGCGGCAAGAGAGCUCAAUUAAUUUCUGAGGGAGGACGGCAGGAUGCGACCCCUUGUGCGUGGCCUAGGAGGAACUGUCCCUGUGUGAAUUUAUGUUCUGGUAAUUUAAAAAGAUUUAUAUUAAGCUUUUCUUUCAUUUUGAGAGUAGAUUAAAAUUCUAAUGGAAACCAUUUGUAUGCAUUUGUUGAAUUGAAGAGUAUUUAUGGCUGUGUAAAAAAAAUGCUGCAAAAUUCUGCCGAUAAUAAAGUCAGUGAAGCAAGAAUAAGUGUAAAAACAGGAAGGAAAUACGCGAUAGAAACCAUACUGUAUUAUACAAGUAUAAUGAGGGAGGCAAGCCGAGCAGAACGGGGCAGGGAUUAGGCCCCCGGAUGGGAUAGUUUUUCUUAUUUAGUGUAAGGCUUUUGUAGCCCUUUUAUGACUUAAAACAAAAUUUAAAUUUUGAAACAGGCCAGGUCAGUCUGCACAGACCCCAUGGCCACAUCACUGUGUCACAUCAUUCUUGAACUCCUGCCGGUGUCUAGGACAAACAGGCAGGAAAGAAAAUCCAAGCGGCGUCUCAGAGAAAAGAUGCUGAUGGCAGGAAAAGAAGACCCAUGAAACAGGAGGCGGGGGUCAGCGAGCAAGGUGAAAAUCAGAGCCCCGGAGUGCAGUGCAGGUGGAAGAGAGGUAGCAAAACCAGGGAAGUCGCCGUGCUCGGGACAGUCCAGUGUGUCCCUGGCAUCCCCAGUCAUUGCCGUGGCCACCUGAUCAGAACCUGUACAGAAGCUGCCCCAUCUCCUCCACGGUGAGGGCCAAGUUGCAUGUGCCACAGCCCUGUCGGUGACCUUUCUGCGGGCUGGGGAAGCAGAGACAACGGCCUGACAAUCUGCAGGCACAGCCAUCCAAGGGGACAGGGUCCAUGCAACAGCCACCAGAGAAAGCUCCUCACUGCCACCUUUGCAGAGGGAGAAAAGCAGAAAGCAUCGUGGAGGCCCUUUAUCAUGUUGGAAGGCCAGAGACAUUUGGCAUUCCGUCAAGGUCCAUCUUAGAGUUGAGAGAGAGUUUCACCAGGAAACUCACAUUCUCUCAGAACUAGCAGCCGUGAUCGCAUGUCGAAGUCAGGCAACGCCAAGCGUGAUGGUUAACAGCGCUAAGACAGGAGAAAAUGGAAAUUCCCUGAGAGUCCACUGCUCUGCUCCUGCGGCGGUGCUUUUCCCCCUCGUUGUAAGCAUGCUCUUUACCAGAGCUGCACGGAUGUCAUAAACUGCCUCACGAUGCACUAGAGCAGAAUCGUGCGUUAGCAAAUUUCACAGAUGCAAAGUGGGAUUUCUGUCAAUGGAAGCCUGCAUGGAAAAUACGGAACAGCUUAAGAAAGUACUGUCUUCUCUCAAAAUUCCACAGGAGCCUGAAAUGCAGGGGUUCCGGCCUAGGCGUUUUUUGAGGCAAAUAACGUCGCCACACGGCCGAGAUACAGGCCCCUUUUUGCCCCAUGAGACUUACUGGCCUCAGAGUCCGGCCGCUUCUGUUUUGUUUCUUCAUGUAUCCUUGGCUUCUAGCGCAGUUCCUGGUACACAGCAGGCGCUCAAUACAUAUUUGCUGAGCUAAGCAAAUAUGUCCUAGGCCCUGUGGAAGAUACGACAUGAGGAAGACCAGGUCCCUGCCAAAAAGGCACCGAGGGCCCAGGCUGGGGAGGGUAGUGCUGACAUCGAGUAGGCCUUCAGCUCUGACCCCAGCUUCAUUUUAAGUGACUAGGAACAAAUUCUCAAAACUUCUUUUCUAUCAACUCUUCUUCACCCCCAAUAUCACAGCACAACUGUCUGUCAUUGAUGGAGUUCCUGCAAUAAGACAAGCGCUAGAAGUUUACCAUAUUUGUAUCCUUACUGGAUUCCCAAAUUAAUCCUAGUAAGCAAGUGACAUGAUUGUUUUUAGUAGAGACAGGGUUUCACUUUGUUGGCCAGGCUAGUCUUGAACUCCUGACCUCAAGUGAUCCACCCACCUCAGCCUCCCAAAGUGCUGGGAUUAGGAAAAUGAAUACUUUUGCAAGCACAAUGACAGGAGUGUCAAAGGAGGUAGGCUCCACACUCUGAUGUCUCUUUAUCAGUGAGGCCUUUUCUGACUCCCUCACAUGAAGAGCAAACUCACUUCCCUUGUGCCAAAGCACUCAACAUAUAUGACAUCCCACACGGGGUAGGCUGAAUCGUGGCCCUUAAAGUAUGUCCAUGUUCCAAUCCUUAGAACAUGUGAAUGUAUUACCUUAUGUGGCAAAAUGGACUUUGCAGACAUGAUUAAGUUAAGGAUCUUGAGAUUUCAGGAAAAUUAUCUUGGAUCAUUCAGGUAGGCCUGACAUAAUCACAAGAGCCCUUACAAGAGAGAGGCAGGAGGCCAGAGGCAGAGAGCUACACUGCGGAGCUGCUUUGCAGAUGGAGGAAGGGGCCACCGAGACCUGAGAAAGUCAAGGAGACAGAUUCUCCCCUGGAGCCUCCAGAGGGAACCAGCCCUGCUCACACCGUCAUUUCAGCCCUGCAAGACUUGUUUGGGCUUCUGACGUCAAGAACUGGGACAGAAUGAAUUUGUGAUGUUUUAGGCCACUAGAUCUGUGGUAAUGUGUUAUAGCAGAAAUAGGAAACUAACACAACUCAUCUCUACUUGUGUAUAUGUUUGUUAUCCGUCUUCCUCUGCUGGGACAUGAAAUCCGCAACAAGUGGAGGCAAAGCCAGGGACUUUGUCUAUUAUGUUGACUGGCAUCCUUAGUGCUCAGAACAGAGCUCAGAAUAAUAAAUAUUUGUUGAAUGAGCAAAGACGGAGGGGGCAGUCGCAGGAAGGGGGCCUACCGCGUGGCUAAGGGCCCUGAGGUAUGAAAGAUCUGAGAUGCUGGUGGACGUGGCUGCUUCCCGAGCUGAACUGGGGAAGUGGUGGGGAGGUGGGAGAUGUCGGGGAGCUGAUGCUGGGGCAGUUUAUACUUUAUUCUGCAAAUGAAGAAUUAUUGAUGGGUUUCAUGUAGAGUCAUGAUCAUAUUUCUUGAUUGCGUUUUUUUUUUGUUUUGUUUUGUUUUGUUUUUUUGAGACAGAGUCUCACUCUGUCGCCGAGGCUGGAGUG
rnacentral:lncRNA from 1 species